CUUUAAUGGAGAGUUUGAUCCUGGCUCAGGACGAACGCUGGCGGCGUGCCUAAUACAUGCAAGUCGAGCGGGGUCAGUUAGAAGCUUGCUUCUAACUGACCUAGCGGCGGACGGGUGAGUAACACGUAGGCAACCUGCCCACAAGACAGGGAUAACUACCGGAAACGGUAGCUAAUACCCGAUA
rnacentral:rRNA from 1 species